UUUAAGAUCGGUAUGUACUAGUCCCAAAGAGUGAAGAAACGCAACACUUUUAAAAAGUUGUUGGGAUAGCAUCUGAAUAUGCUUCAAAGGGAAAGGAAUGUAGUUGUUAUUCUUUAAAAAAUCAAAGACACUCCAGCCAAAAAGAUCAGUCACAAUGCAGAUGUGCUUGCGGUAAUCGAAAUAAUCGCGUAACUGAAUGCACUUAUUUUCAUUUGUCGGAUCACUAUGAGCUAUAGUUUGUAAAACUCUUAAUUCAAUGAGACUAGCUUCUCUGUACUUUGGAAUUGCUCGAGUCACCUUGAUAGCACAAUGUCUACCUGUACUUUGAUCGUAACACUGGAUAACUUUGCCAAAAGU